ACCACUCAAAUAUUUUUAUAUUUUUUUAUUUUAAUAUUUUGUAAUUUAAAGUGUAUUAAAUCAGUGUUCUGUAAUUUUAUUUUUAUCUUUUUGUCAGCUUCUCUGUUAAUAUUUUGUUAAAUUAUAUACAAAAAAACUUCAGAUGUUCCACCUAAAUUUAUCGAAUAUUCACUUUAGUACCCUUUAGUUUUAACUUUAUUACUGAUUUAACGAAAAAAAUUUAUAAAAUUGAUAAUAAAAAAGAUAAAAAUAAAAUCUGAGGGCACUAAAUUAAUUUAUUAUUAUCAAGUCAUACAAAAGAGGUAAUAAUAUAAUUUUAUGCCACUUAAAUUUUAACAAACAAACAGCAAAAUUUGAAAAACUUCAUUCACACAGCUGUAAAUUCAAAAAAUGAAAGAAAAGUCAUUUUCAUCUGACUGCACCCAAAGUUUAUUUCAACCUAAAAUCUAGUUUCGACAAAACAAACAUGUUACUGAGGUUGUAAUCUUACAACAAUCUUAAUCCAAUGCUUAUUUCUUCUUCACUUGAUUUAUCAUUUUUUUAUUUACUAAAAACCAACCUAUGCUUAAUUAUUAAAUCUUUAAUCUUUUUAAA
rnacentral:lncRNA from 1 species